rnacentral:tRNA from 1 species
CAGAGGGUAGUUUAAGUAGA